rnacentral:rRNA from 1 species
CGUUCUGUAAGCCUGUGAAGGUGUGUCGUGAGGCAUGCUGGAGGUAUCAGAAGUGCGAAUGCUGACAUAAGUAACGAUAAAGCGGGUGAAAAGCCCGCUCGCCGGAAGACCAAGGGUUCCUGUCCAACGUUAAUCGGGGCAGGGUGAGUCGACCCCUAAGGCGAGGCCGAAAGGCGUAGUCGAUGGGAAACGGGUUAAUAUUCCCGUACUUGGUGUUACUGCGAAGGGGGGACGGAGAAGGCUAUGUUGGCCGGGCGACGGUUGUCCCGGUUUAAGCGUGUAGGUGUGUGUUCCAGGUAAAUCCGGUUCACUUUAACACUGAGGCGUGAUGACGAGGCACUACGGUGCUGAAGCAACAAAUGCCCUGCUUCCAGGAAAAGCCUCUAAGCAUCAGGUAACAUCAAAUCGUACCCCAAACCGACACAGGUGGUCAGGUAGAGAAUACCAAGGCGCUUGAGAGAACUCGGGUGAAGGAACUAGGCAAAAUGGUGCCGUAACUUCGGGAGAAGGCACGCUGACACGUAGGUGAAGU